GUUCUUCCUUUCAACGACGCACACUGCACAUCUGGAUCGGACACAUUUAUACCAUCUGACCAUAUCAUCAGCCUCAUCUUUAGAGAUUAUGCUCAAAGGACUCUGCCUUUCUGCUUAUUAUGUGCUGUAUAUUUUAUUUUUCUGUGGUGGUGAUCUGUGCCACCACCACCUGAUCAAAGCUGUGUGCAGUCUCUACAUUGAUGGAUUGAAGGCCAGAGGUCCACAUGACCAUCAUUGUCUAAUUCUUCCACAUGAAGCCUGAAAACCACGAGGACUGAUUUAGAUCAUUUAUGUUAGGUAGAAUGCCUAGUGGGGGCUGGGCGGUUUAAUGGCCCCGGAACCCCUGCAGAUUUUGUUUGUUUUUUUCUCCAGCCCUCUGGAGUUUUUUUUUUUUUUUCUGUCCUCCCUGGCCAUUGAACCAUACUUUAUUCUUUGUUAAUUAGUAUUGCCUA